rnacentral:lncRNA from 10 species
CUCGGCGUCCCACGCUGCUCCCCUCCCCCACUGUCGCGAAGCUCCCGCCCAAGCCGACCACGUGCCGCGAGCCCGGCGGGGAGAGCCCACUCCCGCGCCCCUUCCGGGCCCACUACCCCGCCGGGCUGUGGCCCAUCGCCCCAGUGCCUGAUUGGCAUCCUCUGCUUCUGCAGAAAACAUGGCUACCAACAGCUUCUGUAUCCACCUGCGGAGGAGACUGACUGCUCUGUUAUUCCCCCAGCAUCUGUGAAGAGGCUCUGACUGGCUAAAGUGAAGGAGUCUGUAGCUUUAGGGGAAGACAGAGCCACAAGAUGGAAGGAGCUUGGAUGUCUGAACUAUUCCAUGGAGAAAAGCUGCAGCCAACGAAGAACACCUGCAAUGGACUCUUAACCUGGGGGUGACGACAACCACUGAAAUAUGCUGCAUCUUAGUCCAGGGAUUUUUAAAGUGUGGUUCCUGGAAGAGCUGGAUCAGAGUCAUCUGUGUUGAUGGUUUAACAUAAAGAUUUUCGAGCCCCAAGACUCAAGUAGGACAAGGAAUUUGAAUUUUUAAGCAGCUCACCUGACUUGUCUGUCCUCUAAUGUCUGAAGACAUCUGACCUCUGCUCUUUCAGUAAAAGCAACAAUGGUUUUAUGAGCAUUGUCGUCACAUCUCUCCACUCAAGGGAUCCUUCUCAUUUCUCCCAGCUGAGGUCACCCACAGCUGCUGCUUCUAACUGCUGGCUUCCAGCCUGCUGUCUGCCAGCUGGCUCUACCCUCUCCUAUAACACGGCAGAGAGUAGCUGUGGUCUCCUGCGUGCUCACCCUCUGCUCCCUUGGUCCUGCUCCAUGCUUUGGUCCUGCACUUAAAUUUUACAAGCAUACUCUCUUUCUCUUAAGCUCGGCAGCACUCAGAUGGCUCUUGAAAAUCUUUGAGAUAUAAUCUGAAAGGAGGUCCCAGUUUCUGCCCCGGGCUGUUUGCAUCAUCAACCUGCAAAAUUCCAAUCUUGGAACUUGCUGAGAUUUUCAUUCUGAGACUCUCUGCCCUGGGCCUUGAGGAUAGCCAGAAGAAUACUAUAUUUCUUCUGCCUCUCUUUCUCUUUCUAUCUAAAGAGGUCAGGAUUAUAUAUCCACUUUGCUGAAUAUAGAAUCAAACCCAAUUGCCAUCAGCAAGUGCUGUAUAUCACCUACCACACCUGGGACCAGGCAUCAACAAGACCUUGACAGGGCCAGAAGCCUCAAGCCCUCAUUGCCAAGCCCAUUAAAAUCAGGAACUCAAUCUCAUUAAGGAAGGAGUGCAAUGGAUAUAGCCAGACAGGAGGAUUUCCACUUCAGUAUUAUCCUGAAUAGUGAACAACCAUCUCUGCUUUUCUCAGGGAGAAAGAUGUGGUAACAGUCACAAUGAUAGUAGACGAUGGUGACUGUUUAAUUUGUCAUGGCUAACAUAUAUGGUUAGCAAAUUGAGUUUCCUUUUAGGUAUAGUCUGAAUUGAACUGAAGUUCAUUAUAAUUCCCCUAAGUUGAUCUGUGAGGGCAUUUUAGCCUUCUUGGUAAAAUUAAAUAAUAUCAGUCAAAAAGGCUGUUAAACCAAUUCUUACACUUGAAAGCUUCCAGUUAUUCUAAUAAUUUGGAAUCUGUGUCUCCCCCUCUGUGGCAAUGAGGCUGUUGCUUGCUUUUCCCAAGAGACUGUAUUGCAUCUUUCUUGUUUUCUGAGAUGAGAAACAACCUCAAGGUCAUGCCCAGUGAUAUGGUUUGGCUCUGUGCCCCCACCCAAAUCUCAUCCCGAAUUGUAAUCCCCACAUGUCGGAGGAGGGGCUUGGUGGGAGGUGACUGGAUUAUGGGGGUGUAUUUACCCCUUGUUUUCAUGAUAGUGAGUUCUCAUGAGAUUUGAUGGUUUAAAACUGUGUGGCACCGCCCCCUGCAAGCUCCCUCUCUCUCCUGCCACCAAGUAAGACGUGCCUUGCUUCUUCUUUGCCUUCUGCCAUGAUUGUAAGUUUUCUGAGGCUUCCCCAGCCAUGCAGAACUGUGU